rnacentral:rRNA from 1 species
UACGUAGGGGGCAAGCGUUGUCCGGAUGUAUUGGGCGUAAAGAGCGUGUAGGCGGCCAGACAAGUCUGCUGUGAAAACUCGAGGCUCAACCUCGAGCUGUCGGUGGAAACUGUCUGGCUAGAGUCCGGAAGAGGAGAGUGGAAUUCCUGGUGUAGCGGUGAAAUGCGCAGAUAUCAGGAAGAACACCCGUGGCGAAGGCGGCUCUCUGGGACGGUACUGACGCUGAGACGCGAAAGCGUGGGGAGCGAACAGG